AGUAAUGUAUGGGGAUCUGCCCGAUAGAGGGGAAUAACUACUGGAAACGGUGGCUAAUACCGCAUAAUGUCUACGGACCAAAGCAGGGGCUCUUCGGACCUUGCACUAUCGGAUGAACCCGUAUGGGAUUAGCUAGUAGGUGGGGUAAAGGCUCACCUAGGCGACGAUCUCUAGCUGGUCUGAGAGGAUGAUCAGCCACACUGGGACUGAGACACGGCCCAG
rnacentral:rRNA from 1 species